rnacentral:rRNA from 1 species
CCUACGGUGUGCUGCAGUCGGGAAUAUUGCGCAAUGGAGGAAACUCUGACGCAGUGACGCCGCGUGCAGGAAGAAGGUUUUCGGAUUGUAAACUGCUUUAGACAGGGAAGAAAAAAGACAGUAACUGUAGAAUAAGCUCAGGCCAACUACGUGCCAGCAGACGCGGUAAUACGUAGGGAGCAAGCGUUAUCCGGAUUUAUUGGGGGUAAAGGGUGCGUAGGCGGAGAAGCAAGUUAGUUGUGAAAUCCCUCGGCAUAACUGAGGAACUGCAACUAAAACUACUUCCCUUGAGUACUGGAGAGGAAAGUGGAAUUCCUAGUGUAGCGGUGAAAUGCGUAGAUAUUAGGCAGAACACCAGUGGCGAAGGCGACUUUCUGGACAGUAACUGACGUUGAGGCACGAAAGUGUGGGGAGCAAACAGGAUUAGAUACCCGAGUAGUC